UACGUAGGUGGCAAGCGUUAUCCGGAAUUAUUGGGCGUAAAGAGCGCGCAGGUGGUUAAUUAAGUCUGAUGUGAAAGCCCACGGCUUAACCGUGGAGGGUCAUUGGAAACUGGUUAACUUGAGUGCAGAAGAGGGAAGUGGAAUUCCAUGUGUAGCGGUGAAAUGCGUAGAGAUAUGGAGGAACACCAGUGGCGAAGGCGGCUUCCUGGUCUGCAACUGACACUGAGGCGCGAAAGCGUGGGGAGCAAACAGG
rnacentral:rRNA from 1 species